GUGGGGAAUAUUGGACAAUGGGGGCAACCCUGAUCCAGCAAUUCUGUGUGCACGAAGACGGUUUUCGGAUUGUAAAGUGCUUUCAGCAGGGAAGAAGGAAGUGACGGUACCUGCAGAAGAAGCGACGGCUAAAUACGUGCCAGCAGCCGCGGUAAUACGUAUGUCGCGAGCGUUAUCCGGAAUUAUUGGGCAUAAAGGGCAUCUAGGCGGCCUAACAAGUCAGGGGUGAAAACCUGCGGCUCAACCGCAGGCUUGCCUUUGAAACUGUAAGGCUGGAGUAUCGGAGAGGUGGACGGAACUGCACGAGUAGAGGUGAAAUUCGUAGAUAUGUGCAGGAAUGCCGAUGAUGAAGAUAGUUCACUGGACGAUAACUGACGCUGAAGUGCGAAAGCCGGGGGAGCAAACAGGAUUAGAAACCCUAGUAGUCC
rnacentral:rRNA from 1 species